rnacentral:rRNA from 1 species
CCUACGUGUGGCAGCAGUGGGGAAUCUUCCGCAAUGGACGAAAGUCUGACGGAGCAACGCCGCGUGACCGAAGAAGGUCUUCGGAUUGUAAAGUUCUGUGAUUCGGGACGAAAGGGUUUGUGGUGAAUAAUCAUAGACAUUGACGGUACCGAAAAAGCAAGCCACGGCUAACUACGUGCCAGCAGCCGCGGUAAUACGUAGGUGGCAAGCGUUGUCCGGAAUUAUUGGGCGUAAAGCGCGCGCAGGCGGUUUCUUAAGGCCAUCUUAAAGGCGUGGGGCUCAACCCCAUGAGGGGAUGGAAACUGGGAAGCUGGAGUAUCGGAGAGGAAAGUGGAAUGCCUAGUGUAGCGGUGAAAUGCGUAGAGAUUAGGAAGAAAACCGGUGGCGAAGGCGACUUUCUAGACGAAAACUGACGCUGGGGCGCGAUAGCGUGGGGAGCAAACAGGAUUAGAUACCCCUGUAGUC